rnacentral:lncRNA from 1 species
CUACAAUAUUUCUACAUUAGAAAAGAUAUUACCACUUGGCUAGAAGCUUUUCAGAUGCAGCUAAAUUUAAUAAUACUUUCUUCCAGAUUUGCAAGUGAAAAACACACAUUUAUUUGCCAAGUUUUUAACCUUUUUUGUAUAAUAAAUAUUCAAUUUGAAAAAGAAGAUUGCCCCAAGAAGGCCAAGAAUUGCUCAUCUAGAGGCUUCACGUAAAUUUACAUACAUACAUAUUAAUAUCCUGUUAGUAAUUAAUAAUUACAAGUAGUGGUUGCUAUCAUACUAAAUUUAAUUAUCAAAACAAAUUUCAUUAAUCUACAGUCACAUCUCUAGUCUACAGUCACGACAAUCACAUCUCUAAUUAAAUUUUUGUUUACAGUAAUAUUUACAUGGAAUUUUUACAUGGUUUUUGUAGAAAUUACUGCCAAGAAAGUUCAUUUAAAUGAAAACUAAGGAGUAAAAGUCAAGACUAUUUUGAAUAAAAUGGAUGAUGCAUUAGUGGUUUGAAAAUUCAAGGUCAGUUUGAUUUUUGCAAGCGUUGUGGGCUUGUGGCAUUAGCAUAAGAAAGAUAAAUGAUAAAAAUGACUGACACCAUAAAAAAUAGAAUUAGCCUUGUGCAAAAUAUUUCCUAGAUAUCAGAUAUGGGGGGGGGGGGGGGGGGCGUCGGAUUCCGUCGAAAACAUUGUUCGGAUUUUGGAUCUGGCGAAUAUUUUACACGGUUUUGCGGAUCUUAUUAAUACAUCGGAUUGCGGAUUUAUCUAAUAUUUUGGCUCAGAUUGUGGAUUUACCUUGUAAUUUAAUUUGAAUCCUGGUUUGUGACUUUAUAGUAGAGCUUUUAGCGGAUCCAAAUUUAGAUAAAACCAUUGUCGGAUUGGCGGAUUUUGCUUCGAACUUGGGCGGAUCGACGGAUUUGUUUUCUGUCAAUAUAGGAUAGAGAAACUGGUUUCCACUUGAUUGCAGUCACAACCAAGUCAUGGUCAUUGGUAACUAAGUCUGGAUCAAUCUUGUCUUUUGUGUACUGUAUGUAAAGCAAGGAGAGCUUUGACAUUUCCAGCAAAGGUCUAAUUUGUCUGGUGAAAAGCCCUUCAAUCAAAAUAUCGAAGUUCUUGUAUUUUUCAGGUAGUUGUAUCCCUAUCUAAUCCAAAGCUUUCCUAUUGACACUACCUACACUGAUACAGAGUGCAGUAUGUAAAGUAGUCUUCUGGUUACAGAAAUACAUGGACAUUCCAAUCACAAUUACAUCUCUUUCUAUUAAAUCAUCAACAACUUAAAUCAAGCCACAACCCUACUUGCCCACAUGGAAAAAGUUUUGGAGGUUUUAACGAGCAAGCCAGCAGGAAAGGAUGUUAUUGGUUUUCUACCGAUAAAAGAGUUAUUUUCUGAGAAUUUUUAUAAAUACAUUCGAAGUCAAUCAACAAACCAUGUUACAGCACAGUUACAUUGGACUGUUAAAUGCGAACGAUUAUUCUUAUCAAAAAAUGCAUGCUAGUAAUCGACUCUCAUGAUACUGUACACCAGAAUCAGCGUAGUAUAAAAUGAUAAAAUGUUACAUGUGCUUGUUGUGCUACUUAAUUAGUGCUUAACUAACUACUUAAUUAAUUAAUUAACACUUAAGUCUUGAUGACCGUCAUAUAUGUUAGCUUCAUUUGCUUAAAUAAAAGCAAGUCUUCGUAAUAUUAAAAUAAUAAAAUGUUGUAACUUACACCAAGCUUGAUGUUUGUAGUGUUACUCUAAAGGCCCAUUUACACGAUACGAUU